rnacentral:rRNA from 1 species
GUAGGUGGCAAGCGUUGUCCGGAAUUAUUGGGCGUAAAGCGCGCGUAGGCGGUUUGAUAAGUCAGAUGUGAAAGCCCUGGGCUCAACCUGGGAACUGCGUUUGAUACUGUCAAACUGGAGUGUGGUAGAGGGAAGUGGAAUUCCACAUGUAGCGGUGAAAUGCGUAGAGAUGUGGAGGAACACCAAUGGCGAAGGCAGCUUCCUGGACCAACACUGACGCUGAGGUGCGAAAGCGUGGGGGGAGCAAACAGGAUUAGAUACCCUGGUAGUCCACGCUGUAAACCGAUGAGAACUAGCCGUUGGGGGCAUCUGGCCCUUGGUGGCGCAGCUAACGCGAUAAGUUCUCCGCCUGGGAGUACGGCCGCAAGGUUA